UACCAAAAGUGAACUAAACUUUGCAAAGUGAGAAAUUCAGACACUACAGGCUCGCUUCUCUCUUCAUUUCUAGUUUCUCCUUGCAAUCCCUGGACUGUGGUAGAAAGAAGUACAGAAAUGAUGAACUGUGCAAAGAAUCUUAUAAAUGCUGUGUCUACAAGGUGAACUCUAUCAGAACUGUUAUUGUAAAGAACAGACAGUAUUGCUACAGGUUAUAGAGUUUCUUCCUUGAGGAAAUCGAAUACUUUUACUUCUCUUGCACAGAUUUCUCAAACGAAAUGUCUUCUCCACAAUACUACAUUUCCUGGAUUUAUGAAGCCGUAAAGUCCACCAGAUUCAACUCUAGAGCUAAAAUGCAUCACAGCAACCAAAGCCUUAUUAUAGUCAUAAAAUUAAGUAGCACACAAAGAUUGAGGGAGAAAACAGGAUGCAGGCAGCAAAAAUUAUUUUUGACAUUUAUUCUUUGAAGAAUUGCAUAGGACAAAUUUCAAAUGGAGAAGAUUGCACUAGAAGGGAGGAAGACCCUGGAGGUCCCUAUUGAAACAGCCCAUACAACAAGAUUUGAGGUGAUGGCUAAACAGAAGUGGGAAGUGCUGUUUUCUUCCUGGUCUAACUUGACGAUGUGCAUCUUGAGUAUGAAGAGGGAAUAACAGGACAAGCUUAACUUAAUACAAAUGGAGGAAUUGCACUCUUCUGGCUCUGUGUGGAGUUAUUCCCUUUGCUUCCAAACCAGAGCACUAGUUGUUAGAAGGGGGAAAUGCGUUCUGAAAUAAAUGAUGUGUGCUACAGCA
rnacentral:lncRNA from 1 species